rnacentral:tmRNA from 1 species
GGGGAUGCACUGGUUUCGACGGGGGUCGCGAAAUUGCCUGGUGCAUGCCGAGGGGGCGACUUUCCUCGUUAAUCCAGUAGCAAACUUCUAGUUGCC